rnacentral:tRNA from 1 species
GGCUAGAUAACAUAAAGGCAAUGUGUUAGACUGCAAAUCUUGAAAUGUAAGGUUCAAUUCCUACUCUAGCUU